rnacentral:rRNA from 1 species
GAUGAACGCUGGCGGCGUGCCUAACACAUGCAAGUCGAACGGAAAGGCCCUGCUUUUGUGCGGUUCUCGAUUGGCGAACGGGUGAGUAACACGUGUGUAACCUGCCCUUGUCUUUCGGGUAUCUUCACGAAACUGGGGAUAAUAUAGGAUAGGAUCUCCUGCACCGUGGUGGGCGUUGGAAAGUUUCGGCGGUUGUGGAUGGACUCGCGGCUUAUCAGCUUGUUGGUGGGGUAGGUGAUUUCCAAGUCUUUGACGGGUAGCCGGCCUGAGAGGGUGAACGGCGACAAUGCGACUGAGGGAGGGAGCAGUAGGCUAUGGGAGGCAGCAGUGGGGAGCAUGACACAGCGGGCGGAAGCCUGAUGCAGAGACCCUCGGUGCGUAAUGCCCUCUUUUUGGUUGAGAACAGCUUUCGCCUGAGACGAAGCGGUAGUGACGGUACUGAGUAAAGAAGCACCGGCUAACUACGUG